GCGCAGCGUGGCGCCCCAGCGCGCCCGCGCCUCCGCCUCGCCGGGGCUCUCGAGAGCUGAGAAGACUGUAGCACCCGCCACCAGGUAGAGGCCGAUGAGCGCCGCCAGCAGCACGAAGCGGCCGGUGUCCUCGUUGAGAAUAUGGAUGUGAUGACCAGGACACCAGCUGCCAUCUGGAGUCAUGAGGUGACUUUGAGGAUGGAAGCCACAGUGUGAAGGAGCAAGUUCCUGCUUGAAUAAGUCUGAGACUGGAAUUUAGACCUUCAAAUAUGAUCCUACUCCCACCCCAAACAUACAGCCCCUGACACAGAGCUGGGCAUGUGUGGGCUCUCACUCAUGCUGGCUGAACUGCUUGCACUCUUAGGGCAUCUGGCCUCCUUCAGCAGAGAGGACCCAGCAAGCAGGACUCGGACUGCCUCCACUACCCCAGCUGAAUUCCAGCCCUGCUCACCCUCUCCAGGUCAGAACAUCAGCACUGGAACUUGAGUACUUCCCCCAUGCCUGCGGGACUUGGGCUUGUACUCUCUCUGAGGUUGGACGACCCUGAAUUGGGGUUUUCCAGCUGGAAGAAUCCCUCCACAGAAGCUGGAAUUUUCCUUCUGUUUUCUCCUUUGCUCUCAACAUCUCAGCAAAAAGCAUCACCUAUAAAUGUGAAGGCUGAUUAAUUCUAAGUCUGGGGCUACUGUUGAUACAGACACAGCUGGCGAGAUACAGAAUUAAACAAACACAAGGUCCUUUGCUGACUCAGCAGCUGGUGGAACAGGGGACAAGCCCUUGGGCAUUCUAGAAAGCCCUGCCUGCCCAGUGGUAAUUUUCUCUUUUGGGUUUCUUACCAGGAAAGCAAUUCCCAGCCACUCUUGCCAGCCUAUCUGUUUCACUAAGCCAGAGAACAUAUUAUUGUAAGAGAUUUGAUCAUUGCUUUCUGCUCUCAAGGGACCCCCCUCCAUCGAGUCCAAUUUUCUGUCCCUGCCUUUACCAUUAGAGAGUCUUUUUGGUGGAGCAAGGCACUACUCUCCUCUGUGCUUUUUUAGUGUCUGGUAGAGGCAGUACCAAGGGGUAGCUGGGAGGAUGGUUAGCUACCAUCUCUAUUUCAAAAUAAAAACAGUGCACUUAUAAUGCUACCACUGUUUCCACCCAAAUCUACCAUUGUCAUCCUUCCAACCAAUUGCUCUCUCUAAAUCCUUUCUAGAUAGACAUUCCAUAGCCACACCACCCCUCUGUACGAAUGAGUUGAUCAGGCCUUUCUCUUUGUGGGAGGCACAGCUUGCAGGCUCAUUUUAGUUGCUGGGUCUCUGCAUCUCAAAAUAUGGGCAUGAAUAUGAGGUAAAUGUCUCAUCUGUGUCCUACGUAUCUCUGUGCACAUGCAGCACACAGACUGUUCAUCCCUUCCAGGCAGCUUUCAGACUUUGCUUCAUUGUGGUCAAAACUGAGUAUAAGGGAUGGUGUAUGCGUACAGAUCCCAAGUGCAGCGUUGGCCUGAGGUCUCACACCCCUUUGCUUGUUCCUUAGGCUUUCAUAGGCCUAGAUAAGUGACUGAUGUAUUUCCUGUCUUUUUUUUUUUUUUUUUUUGGUGGUGGUAGUGGGGGGCGUGUCUUGCUCUGUCACCGGGGCUGGAGUGUGCUAGCACCAUUAUAGCUCACCGCAGCCUUGAAUUCCUGGGCUCAAGCUCCAUCUGCCUCAGCUUCCUGAGUAGCUGGGACGAUAGGUACCUGGCACCAAGCCCACCUUGUGUUUCCCCUCUUGCCACCUUACCCUGAAUGUGACUGAGAUCUAACAGUUUCUUUCCUGGUUAUUUUAUUUGUUUCCAAUGGUUAGGCUGUAUAAAUGAUGCUACAAUGAUCAUCUUUGUGCCUUCCGCCUGUCAUUGAAGUAAUUUCAAUGACAGGGAAGGAUGUUCAGAAUCCAAUUGGAUUUAAAUAUAUUCAAGAGAUGUGGCCCCGCCAGAUUGGAAGAGCAUGAAAAGAAUUCAGAAUAACAUUAAACAGUCGAUAGGGGACUUCUAAUAUAGAGGGGAAGGACCUGAGUUGCAGGUGAGGGGCUGGUUUUGUAAAUUCAAAUCAGGCUUGAUAAUUAGGGAAGAUACAGAAAGUGAGGAAGAUAUAACUCAGAGCACAGGCUGUGAGACCACCCAUUUGGAGGAUUUGAACUGGGAAUCACCAAGUUUCAGCACAGCUUCUGCAUAAUCAGGCUCAAGUGAUUUGUUGUUAUCAUGAGGAGAAUCUCCCUAGGCAUCUAUAGCUCCAGAUUUCGUGAUCCAGCCACAAAUGUCGUCAGUGAGCAACUCAACCUAGCAAGAGGGUCAUCCAAUUUGCUUGGAAUGUUAAUCCUAAUUUCUUGGAAUGGUAAAAAUAUUUUCUCUCUUUGUGAGUUAGGGUCUUUAACUCAGGGGAAGUUUAGACUUAAUUGUGGAUAUAGGCCAGGCUUGGUGGCUCAUGCCUGUAAUCCUAGCACUUUGAAAGUCCACAGCAGCUGGAUCACUUGAGGCCAGGAGUUCAAGAUCAGCCUGGCCAACACGGUGAAACCCCUGUCUCUACUAAAAAUACAAAACUUAGCCGGGCAUAGUGACAUGUUCCUGUAACUCAGGAAACUGCUACUCAGGAGGCUGAGGUAGGGGAAUGACCUGAAUCCAGGAAGUGGAGGUUCCAGUGAGCUGAGAUUUAGCCACUGCACUCCAGCCUGGGCAACAGAGUAAGACUCUGUCAUAAAACAACAACAACAAAAAGAAUUAAUUAUGGAUAUAAAAAUGCAAAUCAAAAUAAUAAUAUUACUAGUUUUUAAAAAUUAAGUUUAGGAAUAAUCCAUGUAUAUUUGGUGGUUUUAAAGAGCUUGUUGAGAGUAAUUAAUAAAUUAGCCUCAUGAAAUGGCCUUUUCCUGACCCUCCCCUACAGGGCUUAAAACAAUAACAGUAUUAAUUUUGCUCUCUUUAUCUAGCAGAAUUAAGGCCUGCCCAAUUUCAAGGGGAGGAGAAAUAAAGCCCCACUUCUUCAUAGGGGUCUGGAAAAAUUGCAGUGGUCCUCCAGGGCCAUUGGCUUCCCCUGACAGUCCCUUUGAGGCCCUUUAGGUUUUCAUUAACCCCUUUAUCAAGGUGUUUCCAGCCUUCCAGUCCCAAGCCCCAUUCUUUAGGUUUCAUUAUGAUAGUACCCCACUUCUAGGUAUUAAAUCUAUGUCAAGUAUCAAUUGCUGAGCAAUAAACCAUCCCUAAACAUAGUAGCUCAAAAACAACCACAAGACUAAUUUUUCUCAUGGGUCUUCAAUUUGGUGGGGGACUUGGUGGAGAUAGCUCAUCUCUGCUCCACACCAUACUAGCUGGAGCAGCUUGAAGGCUGGGGCCUGGGUCCUCUGGAGGUGCAGUUACUCAUAGGUCUGACAGCUGGUCCUUGCUGUGGGCUGGGACCUUAGCGGGGCCUCUCGGCCAGCCAGUCUAUACAUGCCUUCCCCACGUGUCCUGGGCUUCCUCACACCAUGGUGGCUGGGUUCCAAGGGCAUGUGUCCUGAGAGAGGCAGGUAUAAGCAAUGUCUCCUGUUAUGGCCUAGACUUACGAACUACACAGCAUCACUUCCACCACAUUCUGCAUAGAAUUAGUCACGAAGUCCCACCCAAUUUCAAAAGGAGGGAAAAUAGACUCCACCUCUUGGUUGGGGAGCAGCAACGUUCUAGAACAUGUGGGACCAAGAUGUGGCCAUUUUGAGAAAGGGCUAUCUGUCACAGUCUUUUACUGGUCUGUCAUUGGCUAUGACUUACCCUGGGGUGGGGGGUGGGAGGGUGAAUACAAACUCCCAGGUGCUUUCAUCUGAGAAAAGUAUCUCCAGUAACCGACUAUCUUCUUAAGAUAGUCACUGGUAUGGGGUGUUCAUAAUAAAGGCACAUCGAAAUUGAGGAAGAGAUGCUCAGAAAUACUCAAGGGUAGGUUUAGGGCUUAUAAGAAGCAUCAACAGUAUCUGUUACAGGAUAGUAAAACAAAAUGCUAGGCCUAGCAUGGUGGCUUACACCUGUAAUCCCAGCACUUUGAGAGGCCGAGGAAGACGGAUCACUUGCGGUCAGGAGUUCGAGACCAGCCUGGCCAACAUGGUGAAACCCUGUCUCUACUAAAAUUACAAAAAUUAGCCAGGCAUGGUGGCAGGUGCCUGUAGUCCCAGCUACUCUGGAGGUUGAAACAGAAUAGCUUGAAACCAGGAGGUGGAGGUUUCCGUGAGCUGAGAUUGUACCAGUGCACUUCAGCCUGGGUGACAGAGUGAGACUCUGUCUCAAAAAACAAAAACAAAACAAAAAAACCCCUGAUGGUUCAGAAGUCAGUACCAGGUAUAGUGGUUCACACCUAUAAUCCCAGCUUUUUGGGAGGCAGAGGCAGGAGAUCACCUGAGGCUAGGAGUUCAAGACCAGCCUGGGCAAUAUAACAAGACCCAGUCUCUACAAAAAAGUUUUAAAAAUUAGCCCAGGGAUAUGAGCCUGCGGGUUGAGAUGACAGAAUUGCUUGAUCUCAGGAGUUUGAGGCUGCAGCGAGCUAUGAUCAGGCCACUGUACUCCAGCCUGGGUGACAGAGUGAGAGCUCAAUUCUAAAAAAAAAAAAAAAAAAAAGUCAUGGUGAAUUAUAUUCCCUCAUGUGAUCACAGAAGGCAGAGAAGAGGGAACCCGACAUCUCAGUCUUUGAGGAACAUUAAGUGACAGAAAAUGUAAAUCCAAGAUCAGCUUGGUGCCCUGCUGUAAGUGAGAGUUGGCCUGACCCCGUGUGUCCAUCUCUCAAAUCUUUCUGGUCUCUGCCCACUGAAGGGAUGUACCAGUGACUCUCCACUAAAUCAUGCCAUCAUUUAGCCAUGACUUGUUUUGAUCCAACAUAGAGUGUAAAUCAAUCAUUUUGUUUUUACACAUGGUCCCAUAUGCACGCAAAAUAAGGAAGUCUUUAUCCACUGAACAUAUUGUUUAAAUAACAGCUACCAAAAUACAUUUAAAGAUCUUUAUUGGGAUACUAAGACUGUAGCGUUUU